rnacentral:rRNA from 1 species
UACGUAGGGUGCGAGCGUUAAUCGGAGUUACUGGGCGUAAAGCGUGCGCAGGCGGUUUUGUAAGCCAGAUGUGAAAUCCCCGGGCUCAACCUUGGAAUGGCAUUUGGGACUGCAAGGCUGGAGUGCGGCAGAGGAGACUGGAAUUCCUGGUGUAGCAGUGAAAUGCGUAGAUAUCAGGAGGAAUACCGAUGGCGAAGGCAGGUCUCUGGGCUGACACUGACGCUCAUGCACGAAAGCGUGGGGAGCAAACAGG